rnacentral:tRNA from 1 species
GCGAGGAUGCCGGAGUGGCUAACGGGCACGGCUUAGGACCGUGUGGCCUAGCGCCUUCGCAGGUUCGAAUCCUGCUCCUCGCA